GGGCCGGUAGCUCAGCGGCCAGAGCACUCGGUUUGCAUCCGAGGGGUCCGGGGUUCAAAUCCCCGCCGGUCCACCA
rnacentral:tRNA from 2 species